rnacentral:rRNA from 1 species
GUCUAUGGCCAUACCACCCUGAACACCUAAUCUCAGAAGCUAAGCAGGGUCAGACCUGGCUAGUACCUGGAUGUGCGACUACCCAGGAAUGCUAGGUGCUAUAGUUU